rnacentral:rRNA from 1 species
UCCAGACUCCUACGGGAGGCAGCAGUGGGGGAUAUUGCACAAUGGGGGGAACCCUGAUGCAGCGACGCCGCGUGGGUGAAGGAGCGUUUCGGCGCGUAAAGCCCUAUCGGCAGGGAAGAAGGAGGACGGUACCUGACUAAGAAGCCCCGGCUAACUACGUGCCAGCAGCCGCGGUAAUACGUAGGGGGCAAGCGUUAUCCGGAUUUACUGGGUGUAAAGGGGGCGCAGACGGCAGCGCAAGCCAGGAGUGAAAGCCCGGGGCCCAACUCCGGGACUGCUCUUGGAACUGCGCGGCUGGAGUGCAGGAGGGGCAGGCGGAAUUCCUGGUGUAGCGGUGAAAUGCGUAGAUAUCAGGAGGAACACCGGUGGCGAAGGCGGCCUGCUGGACGGCGACUGACGUUGAGGCCCGAAAGCGUGGGGAGCAAACAGGAUUAGAUACCCUAGUAUCG